rnacentral:rRNA from 1 species
GACGAACGCUGGCGGCGUGCCUAAUACAUGCAAGUAGAACGCACAGUUUAUACCGUAGCUUGCUACACCAUAGACUGUGAGUUGCGAACGGGUGAGUAACGCGUAGGUAACCUGCCUGGUAGCGGGGGAUAACUAUUGGAAACGAUAGCUAAUACCGCAUAAUAUUAAUUAUUGCAUGAUAAUUGAUUGAAAGAUGCAACUGCAUCACUACCAGAUGGACCUGCGUUGUAUUAGCUAGUAGGUGAGGUAACGGCUCACCUAGGCGACGAUACAUAGCCGACCUGAGAGGGUGAUCGGCCACACUGGGACUGAGACACGGCCCAGACUCCUACGGGAGGCAGCAGUAGGGAAUCUUCGGCAAUAGACGAAAGUCUGACCGAGCAACGCCGCGUGAGUGAAGAAGGGUUUCGGAUCGUAAAGCUCUGUUGUAAGAGAAGAACGGGUGUGAGAGUGGAAAGUUCACACUGUGACGGUAUCUUACCAGAAAGGGACGGCUAACUACGUG